rnacentral:piRNA from 1 species
UUAACGUCAUUCUGUGGAUCUGACCUGC